rnacentral:rRNA from 1 species
AUACGUAGGUGGCAAGCGUUGUCCGGAUUUACUGGGCGUAAAGGGUGCGUAGGCGGCUCUGCAAGUCAGGUGUGAAAACCAUCGGCUUAACUGAUGGACUGCAUUUGAAACUGUGGGGCUUGAGUGGAGUAGAGGCAGACGGAAUUCCCGGUGUAGCGGUGAAAUGCGUAGAGAUCGGGAAGAACACCAGUGGCGAAGGCGGUCUGCUGGGCUCUAACUGACGCUGAGGCACGAAAGCAUGGGUAGCAAACAGGAUUAGAUACCCUGGUAGUCCAUGCCGUAAACGAUGAUUACUAGGCGUGGGGAGUCUGACCUUCUCCGUGCCGGAGUUAACACAAUAAGUAAUCCACCUGGGAAGUACGACCGCAAGGUUGAA